ACACUUAAAUAAGAACACCAGGAGCCGGAGCAAGAGCAAAGAAAGGGUGUUGGAUUGGUUUGAGUCUGUUAAAGUGAAAAGCCAGGCUUCAUACCUGAUUGCUACUGAAGUUAACAUGAGUCCUAUUGGAAGAAAUCAGCAAACCGUAGGCAAAUGUGUCUCAGCGUUGGAGUGAACGGCAGAGCUGAUCCAUCCCCACAGAAGCAACAUACCCUACCACCUAAGUCUUGCCAAAGGCAAUUUUCAAAUUGCCUUUAUGGGGUUAAUUUUUAAAUAUGCCAAUAUGGGGUUAGAAGAUUUCUGAAUACAAGAUAAAGAAAUGGAAACCUUAGAGAGCUACAGGAGAGAAAAAGAAACAUCUUCAAGUUACAAUAUUAAGAGCCUCUAUUAAGCUUGACUCCAUCCACUGUGGCUCCUGAGCUUUCCUGGCCUGCACCCUGGUCCACCCCUGCACCCUUAUCCAUGCUGCUUCCUGGCCCAGCUCCCAACUCACCGUUCUACCAACUGGAGGCUCUGCCCACUGCUAUGCUGCCCCAAGGACAAGACCAGAUGCUGGACAAGCUCCAAGCCC